AUUGAACGCUGGCGGCAUGCCUUACACAUGCAAGUCGAACGGUAACAGGUCUUCGGAUGCUGACGAGUGGCGAACGGGUGAGUAAUACAUCGGAACGUGCCCAGACGUGGGGGAUAACGAGGCGAAAGCUUUGCUAAUACCGCAUACGAUCUAAGGAUGAAAGCAGGGGACCGCAAGGCCUUGCGCGUUUGGAGCGGCCGAUGGCAGAUUAGGUAGUUGGUGGGAUAAAAGCUUACCAAGCCGACGAUCUGUAGCUGGUCUGAGAGGACGACCAGCCACACUGGGACUGAGACACGGCCCAGACUCCUACGGGAGGCAGCAGUGGGGAAUUUUGGACAAUGGGCGAAAGCCUGAUCCAGCAAUGCCGCGUGCAGGAUGAAGGCCUUCGGGUUGUAAACUGCUUUUGUACGGAACGAAAAGGCUCUGGCUAAUACCUGGGGCACGUGACGGUACCGUAAGAAUAAGCACCGGCUAACUACGUG
rnacentral:rRNA from 1 species